rnacentral:rRNA from 1 species
CCUACGGGUGGCUGCAGUGAGGAAUAUUGGGCAAUGGGGGCAACCCUGACCCAGCCAUGCCGCGUGAGUGAAGAAGGUCUUCGGAUUGUAAAGCUCUUUCGGACGUGACGAUGAUGACGGUAGCUAAGGAGCAAGCCACGGCUAACUACGUGCCAGCAGCCGCGGUAAUACGUAGGUGGCAAGCGUUGUCCGGAAUUACUGGGUGUAAAGGGAGCGCAGGCGGGAAGCCAAGUCAGCUGUGAAAACUACGGGCUUAACUUGUAGACUGCAGUUGAAACUGGUUUUCUUGAGUGAAGUAGAGGUUGGCGGAAUUCCGAGUGUAGCGGUGAAAUGCGUAGAUAUUCGGAGGAACACCGGUGGCGAAGGCGGCCAACUGGGCUUUAACUGACGCUGAGGCUCGAAAGUGUGGGGAGCAAACAGGAUUAGAUACCCUGGUAGUC